GAUCAAGUGUCUUAAGGGCAAUUGGUGGAUGCCUUGGCAUGCACAGGCGAUGAAGGACGUGAUACGCUGCGAUAAGCUACGGGGAGGUGCGAAUACCCUUUGAUCCGUAGAUUUCCGAAUGGGGAAACCCACCUAAGGUGCUUGGAAAAUCAGAGCAGCAGGUAAUUGGCGCGAGAUCCCAAAAGGAUUGAGCGUUAAGCGACGAUCUCUUUGAGAUCGCGCAGACUUGCUGCUGUGGUUUCCAAGUAUCUGUUAUAGGUAACUUAUCCUGAAUACAUAGGGAUAAAGUGGCGAACGCGGGGAACUGAAACAUCUAAGUACCCGUAGGAAAGGACAUCAACCGAGACUCCGGCAGUAGUGGCGAGCGAACCCGGACCAGGCCAGUGGCGAUGAUGAGACAAGCGGAACCUUCUGGAAAGUAGGGCCAUAGUGGGUGACAGCCCCGUACGCGUAAUGC
rnacentral:rRNA from 1 species